rnacentral:misc_RNA from 1 species
CCCCUGUGGCCCAACCUCCCACCCUUGUCGUUUAUAACCUGUUGCUUUGGCGGGCCCACCGGGGCCACCUGGUCGCCGGGGGACAUCGUUCCCGGGCCCGUGCCCGCCGAAGCGCCCCUAGAACUCUGGUGAAGCUAGGCUGUCUGAGUCUUAUGAAAAUAGUUAAAACUUUCAACAAUGGAUCUCUUGGUUCCGGCAUCGAUGAAGAACGCAGCGAAAUGCGAUAAGUAAUGUGAAUUGCAGAAUUCCGUGAAUCAUCGAAUCUUUGAACGCACAUUGCGCCCCCUGGCAUUCCGGGGGGCAUGCCUGUCCGAGCGUCAUUUCUGCCCUCAAGCGCGGCUUGUGUGUUGGGUGUGGUCCCCCCGGGGACCUGCCCGAAAGGCAGCGGCGACGUCCGUCGGGUCCUCGAGCGCAUCGGGCUUUGUCACUCGCUCGGGAGGGACCCGCGGGGGUUGGUCACCAUCACCAUUUUUGCCACGGUUGACCUCGGAUCAGGUAGGAAGUAA